rnacentral:rRNA from 1 species
UACGGGGGGGGCAAGCGUUGUUCGGAAUUACUGGGCGUAAAGGGCGCGUAGGCGGCCUGUUAAGUCACACGUGAAAUCCCUCGGCUCAACCGGGGAACUGCGUGUGAUACUGGCGGGCUUGAAUUCGGGAGAGGGAUGUGGAAUUCCAGGUGUAGCGGUGAAAUGCGUAGAUAUCGUCAAGAACACCUAUUGCGAAGGCAGCUCACUAAGCUUUAACUGAUACUGAGGCACGAAAGUGUGGGGAUCAAACAGG